rnacentral:rRNA from 1 species
AUGCAAGUCGAGCGGGGGAAGGUAGCCUGCUACUGGACCUAGCGGCGGACGGGUGAGUAAUGCUUAGGAAUCUGCCUAUUAGUGGGGGACAACAUCUCGAAAGGGAUGCUAAUACCGCAUACGUCCUACGGGAGAAAGCAGGGGAUCUUCGGACCUUGCGCUAAUAGAUGAGCCUAAGUCGGAUUAGCUAGUUGGUGGGGUAAAGGCCUACCAAGGCGACGAUCUGUAGCGGGUCUGAGAGGAUGAUCCGCCACACUGGGACUGAGACACGGCCCAGACUCCUACGGGAGGCAGCAGUGGGGAAUAUUGGACAAUGGGGGGAACCCUGAUCCAGCCAUGCCGCGUGUGUGAAGAAGGCCUUAUGGUUGUAAAGCACUUUAAGCGAGGAGGAGGCUACUUUAGUUAAUACCUAGAGAUAGUGGACGUUACUCGC